AUUGAACGCUGGCGGCAUGCUUUACACAUGCAAGUCGAACGGUAACAGGCCUUCGGGUGCUGACGAGUGGCGAACGGGUGAGUAAUGCAUCGGAACGUGCCCAGAGGUGGGGGAUAACGCAGCGAAAGCUGUGCUAAUACCGCAUGUGAUCUGAGGAUGAAAGCGGGGGACCAGGCAGCAAUGUUUGGCCUCGUGCCUUUGGAGCGGCCGAUGUCAGAUUAGGUAGUUGGUGGGGUAAAGGCCUACCAAGCCGACGAUCUGUAGCUGGUCUGAGAGGACGACCAGCCACACUGGGACUGAGACACGGCCCAGACUCCUACGGGAGGCAGCAGUGGGGAAUUUUGGACAAUGGGCGCAAGCCUGAUCCAGCAAUGCCGCGUGCGGGAAGAAGGCCUUCGGGUUGUAAACCGCUUUUGUACGGAACGAAAAGGCUCUGGCUAAUACCUGGGGCUGAUGACGGUACCGUAAGAAUAAGCACCGGCUAACUACGUG
rnacentral:rRNA from 1 species